AGUCCUGUGGUAUUUACGCCAAAAUGCAAAUUUGGAGACGCACCCCUAAAGUGCCGGGACUU
rnacentral:tRNA from 1 species